UAAUUCUUUACAGAAGAUAACCUACAAAGGAUUAUUGUACAAACAAAAAUUAUGUUCAUCUUUUGUUUUUUUAAAUGUAGUAGUAUGUGACAUCCAGUAUAGAGUCUAUGAGCCUAUCUAUGUAUCCAUCUACGUAUCUAUCUAUGAAUUUAUCUAUAUGUCUGGCUGUCAAGCUCUCUAAGAAUCCCUUGAAUUUUUUAAAGAUCCUCUUCAUGUAUGUUACAAGAUCUUAGAACUAGCCAAAUAAUUAUUAAUCUGUAUUUCUUUUAUUCAUCAGAGAAAUAAUUUUUCACUCAAUUUGUAACCUGUCUUCAAUUAAUUAUUUGCUUUUGUUGUAUAGCAGCUUUGGGUUUUGUGCAAUCCCAUUUGCAGUUAUUCAACAUAUUCUGAGCCACUGAAGAGUUUGUGUCUCUUGCUUGUGAAUCUGUGUUGAAGUGCUAUACCUAUCUUUUCACAGAGAAUUCGAAAGUUCCAAUCUUUGAUCUCUUUGUAGCUUAUUUUUGUGCAGGAUGAAAGAUAGUUAGAUACUUUCAUUGUUCUUCAUAUAGAUACUCUGUUUGUCCAGCUUUUGUGCAAAAGGCAGUUGUUUCCAAAUGUAUGUUCUGGAAUCAUUUUUUUUAAUAACCAUGAUUCUUUGAGUGUAUUUCUGGAAUCCCUAGUUAAUCCUGAUUUUAUUAUUCUCCAGGUCUGUCUUAUACCAAUACCAUAGAAUUUUUGUUAUUUUACCAUUAUACAACAACUUGAGAUCCAGUUUUGUGGCCCUUUGAAUAUAGUAUAUUUUGUUCAGGAUUGUUUUAUUUAUUCAGGUUAUCUUGUGCUUCAGCAAUCAUUAGAGGAUUUUCCGCAGUAACAUUAGAAUCCUGAACAUUAGGAAUGGUUUUGGUAAUACCACUAUUAUCAAAACAUGACUGCUUGAGUGUGGAGCGAACUCUUAUUUUGCAGCACCUCCUUCAGUCUCUCCAAUAUGCUUACAUCUUUAUUUCAAAAGCAUUUUACUCCUUUUGUUAUGUCUAAUGCUAGGCAUAUUUUAAUGGUAUUCUGAAUAAUAUAUCUAUUAUCAACAGAUAUGCCAUUGGAAUAUAGGUAAGCUGAAGAAUAAUAUAAGUUGGAUCAUAUCAUCAUAAUUUGCUGGUGACUUGCAUGUUUGAGAUUUUUUUUUUCUGGGAUAACUCUAGGGUCUUUCUGCCUCUGUGGAUACUUUGACAUUUUUCUUGCUUGCAUUCCUUCUAUUCCUAACUCUUGUGUUAUUUCUCUAGCUAAGCAUUCAAGAACUGCAUGUCUCACAUUUUCUCUAUUUAGUAUAAUGUUGGAUGUCGUAUUAUAUAUCUAUAUUAUAUUGAGGUAUGUUCCCUUUAUAUAUAAUUUAUUCAUGGAUUUUAUCAUGAAGAGUGUUGAGACUUAGCCAAAGUGAUUUUUGUCUCUGCUGAGAUGAGCAUUGAUAUCUAUGAGUCAAGCAAUUGAUGUAGUGGGUUAAAUAUAUUGACUUGCAUAUGAUGAAACAUAUCUGCGCCUUUGAAUGAACAGUAAUUGAUACUAGUCAAUGAUCCAUUUAAUCUGUCAUUUUUGUGGCCUGCAAUUAAUAAUAGACAAUUACUCACCCAUCCAUGUUCAUCAAGUUCAUUUCCCAAUAACCAUUUUUUUCUGUGUUCUUAUGAAUGGAAAUGUUCUGUGUCUUAGUGAUAUUUAUAAAAAUAAACACUGAAUCUUAUCACGUUUGGGUUUAUAUUGUCUCCGACAUAUGUGAUGUAUAAUGUUGAUAUGGAUUGAUGAGUCAUUUAUUUAAUGAAUCUCUUAUAUCUGCAAUAAAAUCAGUGUUAAUAAUAGCUUCUAUAAUAGCAUUACUUUAUUAAGUAUUAAUUUGUUUAUAAUUUUGUAUCAAACACAAAUUGAGUUGUCCUCUUUUUUAUUUCCCCUUUUAAAUGGAUAAAUAUACAUCUAUUCACUUUUUUAUUUUACUGUGCAACUCCCUUCAAUUAUUUCCUCUUCUUUGAGUUUUUCAGUUAUCCUUAAAUAUAUAUUUUUUCAGCUACUGUCAAUUUUUCAUUUUGAAACAUGAUUUGUAGUGAACAUAAUAAUACCUAGGAAAAAAAGGUGGCUAUUUUUCUAAAGUUGUGGCCUCAUUUUUGCACCUACUUGCUUAUUUCUAUUACAGCUUUUAUCAACAGUGUUGAUUUCUUAUUUCAAAUAAAGUUGAACCAUAUCUGGUGCCCUUGGCAUCUUAUAAGUGUAUCUCAGAAUGAACUGAAAGAUCUCUGUACCUUCCAUUUCUUCAAAGGCUGCAGUCAGUGCUUUCUGGGAGUUAUUUUAUGACACAGUGAUUGCCCGAUGGUAUCUGCUCUGAUAACUGCACUUAAGAAAUGUAUGAAGAGAAAGCUUUUAUCAGUCUGUCACCAUCGGACCUUAUCACCCACAAGCAAGUGGUCAGGCUAAAGAGCAUUGCCAACCAUAGAGCAGGUUCUCAUGGGAGAUUGACUAGAAAGAUAGGACAAGUUGGAGGGGAGUCAGAUCCUUUUACUCCUGAAUCAAUAGUGUGUAUUAGUACAGAUAGAUUUUUGAGGCCAUGAUGAGCUUCUCUUGCUUAGAAUUGGCUUCAUGGGAUGAGAAAUAGCUGUGUGCUUGUAUCUGGUUUCUUCCGUGCUCCUGAUCUAUACAAAGGAUUACACUCUGCCUUCCAUCAAAUGAAUGUUGUUCACUCGAACUGAACCUUUAUCCUGUCAUUAUGUUACCAAUUUAUUAGAAUUUAAGGUAUACACCUGGGUUACUGAAAGUAAAUAUAAAACCUCUCCAGAGUCAUG
rnacentral:lncRNA from 1 species